GUGUAUGGCCACACCACCUCGAAUGUGCUCCAUCUUUUCUGAUACUGGCAGCUAAGCAGGGCUGGGCCUGGUUAGCACUUAGAUGGGGGCUUGUGUUCAAAGACCUUGCUCAUCGGAGUCACUGAGGAUUUUCUACA
rnacentral:rRNA from 1 species